UGGGGAAUAUUGCACAAUGGGCGCAAGCCUGAUGCAGCCAUGCCGCGUGUAUGAAGAAGGCCUUCGGGUUGUAAAGUACUUUCAGCGAGGAGGAAGGCGGUAAGGUUAAUAACCUUAUCGAUUGACGUUACUCGCAGAAGAAGCACCGGCUAACUCCGUGCCAGCAGCCGCGGUAAUACGGAGGGUGCAAGCGUUAAUCGGAAUUACUGGGCGUAAAGCGCACGCAGGCGGUCUGUCAAGUCGGAUGUGAAAUCCGCGGGCUCAACCUGGGAACUGCAUUCGAAACUGGCAGGCUAGAGUCUUGUAGAGGGGGGUAGAAGUCCAGGUGUAGCGGUGAAAUGCGUAGAGAUCUGGAGGAAUACCGGUGGCGAAGGCGGCCCCCUGGACAAAGACUGACGCUCAGGUGCGAAAGCGUGGGGAGCAAACA
rnacentral:rRNA from 1 species